UUGCAUGGAAUUCCUUAUGGUUACCGUUUGCGGUUAUAAUUUUAACGUUUAGGGGGUGGUUAAAAAUUGACUUUUUAUGAGUUAAAAAUUUGAGAAAAUUUCCUUCAUGAAAGUUGUAGAGGACGUUAAACCGAGUGCGUGCAUAUGUGGUACGUAAAAAUCGGAGCUCGUAUGCAAAAGUUAUGAGUGAAAUUCAAAAAUUACUGUUCAUGGUAAUUUUGGAUAAAAAUAGAAACUUACCAGGGUAGGUUUCCAAAACCGGAAACCCACCCCCCCCCCCUUUUUCUCUCUCUCUCCCCGACUCUUCCUCCCCUCUCGGCCGAUUUCUUUCCCCUUCGAUUUCUUCCUCUUCCGGCCGACUCCGGACGUAAUCCGGCCACCCCCAAGCUCGGUUUCUUCCCCCGGUCACGUCCCUGGAGGUAUCUUUGGACGAUUUGGCCGGAAAAGCUCGGAUCGAAGGAAAUUCCUCCCCGGUUGCAGUUUUGGGAUUUUGCCGAUUUCCGGCCAUUCCGGCCACCUCCGGCCGCCAUAUUCCCAUCGAAGGGUUCUUGGAGCUUCGGGGCUUUCCUUCACCGGCUCGAUUCGGCCACUUAGAGGACGAGAGGAGUCUCCAUACGAGGAGAACCACGAGCGAC